rnacentral:lncRNA from 1 species
AGGUCAAAUGGUAGGAUAUGUCUUUAGAUAGGGAAGAAGGGAUGCCAAAUUCACAGCUGUGCAAAUAUCCUGUGCCCGUGUGUGAAGAUCAUUUCAAACAGACAACUCAGGAUGUGCCAGAGUUGGUUCAAGAUGGAGCAAAAAUAAUUCACACCACUUCAGUGUGUACUGCCAGGCCUGGGUAAAUAAUUGAUGUUAUCCUGAGGCGGAUGCAGCUGGUCAUUGAUCAAAACAUGGCUCAAUUUUCAAGAAUUGGAGUUGCGGGAAACAGGGAAUGGAAUUUAGCCUUCAAAGUCUGUGAGUUUCACUGGAUGACUUUGCAGAGGAGGUGAACAAAUCAGUGUGCUAAAGUGGAUGAAGUUCAGAAGCAAGAAUGUAAUUGCAAAAUUGCAAAACUAGCAGUAUGAAGUAAGGAAUCACCGGUAGACUGAAGUCUUUCAUCUUUGAUAUUUGAUAUCUGUAAAGGAUCCCAGGAUGGCACAGGACAACAAGAAGGCCUCCUGCACUAUGUGGAACAAGGAUGCACAUGCACACACAUGCACGCCACUCCAAGAGGACUCCGAGAACUGGUGACAGUACUCCAUUUUCUAAGCUCGAAUUCAUGUGUGUCCUGAGACAUCAGAGGGAAAUAUCUGAGGUGGAGGAAGGAACUGAGGAGAGACAGGAAUGCUGUGCAAAUGUGAGAUCUGGGUUUAAUAACAUCCAUGGACAACCCAUGCAAAAUAAGAAACAGCAGAAAAAAGCAUACUUUGAAGAGCAAAAUAUUUGGGUGAAUUGCCUCUUAUAUUUGGAGAAGCUCAGGACUUGGAAUUCUCUGAAGCAUAAACUAGCUCAUCUUCUUCUCCCCAGAGAACCCGUGAGUAAGUGGUGUGCAAAAGUUGUAAUUAUAUUGAGGUGUUUAAUCCACAGUAUGUUGGGCCACAUGGCACUUCCCUAUGU